UAGACAUUUGUUGAUUGAAUACUGUAUGUUGUCCUGGAGGCUUGUAUACAAACAAGAAAAAUUUUAGAAAUAUGUUGUUAUCACAGCAAGCUAAAAGCUUGGUUAAGAAAUGAAGUAUUUAGUAAAAAAAAAAGGUUAUUAUAGGUCUGCCAUCUAUCAGGUUAAAAGUCUAGGCAAGGCAUGCAUUCUGUUUACACACAAAUACAUUAUUGAUUUCUAGCAGUUCAUUCAUUUGCAUAAAAAAAUCUGUAUCUAAAUAGGAUCUUCAGUUUUAAGCCAUAUGUACUAAGAGCUUGACAGACUAAAUAGUAUUUAAAAGCGUAUUCCUUACAUACGCCAAAAUGGAAAAUAUUGAAGUUCUGCACCGCAGAAAACAGAAGAUUUUUAACAAUGCAUAGGAAAACGCAUCUGUUAGAUUUUACCUGUUGUCGAGGCAUCAGAGCUGCACACUUGAAAUGCAUCUCCUUUCAACAGCUUUGUAUAUUUUGUACCAUAAUAUCACUUCAGGCAUUUGUUUGAAGGCAAACAGCAACUCUGUUUUAGAAGCAAAGCCAUUUAAAUCCCAUCCAGUCCCAGAUUUUUGCAUCCAAUUCCUAUAGCGAUGCCUGCAAGUUUCCCUGGUACAGAACAAAACAAUGCUGCUCUACAGACAGACAUGUACAGAAAACUUUAAGAAAAUGUUCUAAGGUAAACAAAUGAGGUUAAAGAGAACAGCAAUAGAGACACCCUCAAGAUUUAUUUAUUCAAAACAAUAGUUUAUCAUCUGUUCCUACUUCUGAGCCACAUAUGUGCACACUCCAGAGCAAGCAGAGGGGACGGCAAAACACAGUUGCUGCAGUUUGCUCUUGGCUUCCAGGAGACCUCUGAAGUUUCCAUCCUGGAGACAGCACAAAUGCAAAAAUCACAGAGAGGUGCCAGGUUCAGAGCUGAGGUCUCCUCACUGCUGACUUAUUCUUGGCCCUUCCCCUCCUGGCUUUUAUUAAUCUGAGGAUUCCUGAACUUAAGCUUUGAAACUUCAUUUCAGUGAAUGUAAUGCAAUUUUCUUCUUUCUCCUAUUGCUCUAUUUUUUUAAAUCUUUUGCAAAUAUGCUACAAAUAUGAUACCAAAAUGAGGAGUGGCACAGACAGCCUGUCUUUGGAGUACACUGACAUGGAUCCUUGUGACAAGGUAUGUAUCAGAGAGAGACAAAAUAAUUAUUGCUGGGAACAGCACUGGAUAGGUACUCAUUUUAAACUGAAGAAAGUUGCAAAGAAGUUGAGCUGAAAUUAAUGAAAAAUGCAAAAUUAUUGGGAGAUCCCAGGGUGUGCAGCCUUUCUGAAAUUAAGCUACAUUUGCAGACAUCUGAAAAGUCUUAGCAAAAUAAAUGUCCCCAGAACCUGGAAAAGCUGUCCUCUGGUAACCCAACUAUGCCACCAGCAGCUCAUUCCAAACAGCUGAAGAAGGGAGCUUCACUGCAAAAAUGAAGCAGCUGUUUACCUGCAAUGAAAGGCAAAGCUGUCGUUUUGAUCCUUGAAAGAGAGUGGCUGAGAGGAACAGAUUGUGUUAGAGCUGGGAUAAACCCUUAGCUAACUCACUCUCACUCACAUCCCUGUGUCAGCUGAGCCCGAACAACUCCACUGGAAUAGGAAUAUACAUAUGUGAGUGGCAACCUAGAUACUUGAAAGAAUUCUACACUGUCUCAUUUUACCCUCCUAGGAAGAGAAAGAAACAGUCACUGCUCAGAGAGAAAGAAGCUGACCCCAUUCAAGGACCUUCAGGUCCAUCUCUGCAAGAUUCCUCACGCAAAUCAUGGAAACCUUUAUGGAUACUUUACCAGUAAUGAUCUAGAGAUCAGCUGCCUUAGAUAAUAAUGCUGUGUCUGUACCAGAGCCAGACCUACACCCAGAUGUGCAGUGAGAAAAAGACAGAGCAGUUCAUUCACACAGAGCCACUGUAAAGACUGGAUAGGAAGGAAUAAAAUAAAACUGAAACUCUCACUGUAACCUGCCAUAAAUAAAUAUUCAGAAGGUUCUAUGGCUGUUCAAUGCCACAAAACUAUCAUUAAUUUCAAACACACCGCUCUGUUCAGUGACACUCAAGUCCCCACUACUGACAUGCCUGAUAUUCUUUCAAAUAUUUAAACACUCGGAUUUUUAAACAAAUCCAUUUACUUUAACUGGAACUUGGGCACUCAUAUUCUUUAAUCUGCUUUCAGUGUAUCAGUCAUAGCUUCUUAAUAUUUAAACAUUUUCUGUCAUUUAUUAACUCCAGAAAUGCUCAGAUUUAAAAAAAAAAAAAUUAGAUAAAGAAAAAUCCCAUCCAGCAGGUUUUAGAUGACCACACAGGCAAGUGUUGUAAGAGCAAGCACACAAGUUCCUGUUUAGGACUGAUCAUAUUAUCGACUUUGGAAGGAUUUACAAGUCUCAGCUUCUCGUGUUUCUGUACCACACUAGAUUACAUUUAUGUGUACCAUUGCCCUCUACAGGAUGGAAUUCGGGAUUUAUGUAAGUGUUGCAGUUAUUUUGCUUUCUAGGAGCUCACAAAGCAGCACAUAUUUAAUUCCAGAAGUGGAAUACUGUAAUUUUAUCACAGAAGGUUCUAGAUUCCAGACCAGAUAAAUUCUUAUGUGAUAUAAAAAACCAAUCAUGAAUACAGAGUACUGUGUACACUGUGUACUGAUCAGCUGCACCAAUAUGUAAAAAAUCAUAUUCAGAAUCAUCCCUUCAAAACACAAAUGUGAUUGUAAAUACAAAUGUAGAAAGCACCUUUACCUCCCAAGAAUGGCUUCCUUUCUAUAAUCAGUAUGUUAUACAAGACAUGUGCAAUAAACACUUUUGAAUAUCGAGAUUAUUUAAAAAUAUAUCACAUUUUAAAAACAUGAAAUGUGAAAAGCAUUUAAAAGAGACAACAAGAACCCUGCAAAUUCUGAUCUGUCAUUCUGAGAGCACAGUUCUAUCAUUUUAUUUCAUCAUUAUUUGCAUUUACAAAGCCACAUCAGCACUUCUGGUCCCAGAAAAAUAUUUUUAGUUAACUUUUACAUUACAUUACUUACAGAGUAAGCCUAUAUUUUCACUGAAAAUCUGGCCUCUGGGCACACUUAGAAUACUGGAAAAGGUUCACGGUGUAAACAAAACCCGAGGUAUGUUUAUAAGUACAAACAGACACUGAAUGAGAUCUCAGUAGAGCAAGUGAGAAAUUUAGGGACUAAUUUAAAAAAGAGCAAAAUUCUCAUGGAAUUCCCAUCUGAAAUUUCAGUCUUCACAAAGUAUAUAUCUCUGAACUUUAAAGUGCACAAAAAUGAGCUUCAGCAGAAACACUGAGAUCAUCUCAAUUUCCGCCAUUAUUGGAACUAUCACGUCUCCGGUUUCAUGUAAUUUUCAGAUUUCAAAUUAAAUCAAGGGAUUUUUAUAAAGACAGACUAAGAGGCCACUGCUUCAGAUUAAUUGUUAAAAAGGUUCCCUUCAUUUAGAAAUUAAACUUCAUUGUGUAAAUCUCAUGCAUAAAAAAGAUUGAACAGAUACAGGUAGGCCUUCUAAAACAGGAUGAGAGAUUCAAAUCAAGGCUUUUACCUGUGUUGUAAAUAGAACUUUUAAAAUUAUUAUUCAUCUUCCUUUUUGUUAAUUACAGAAAAAGAUAAAUAUUAUUUAUGGGAAAAAAAGUUCUUUUAAAAAGACAUUUAGAAAAGCAUUGAACAAGACAUUAAUAACAAACUGAAAGGAUAAGCAGAAUGGAACUCUGAAAAUUUCUAUAUUUGUAUUAUACAGGCAUUAUAUUUAUUGUUGGCACCUUAUUUUUCAUGUACAUAAAGAGAGCACAAGCUACAGCAGGGUGAGACAAAGAUCAAUGCUGAAUGUAUUACUUGGCAUUGGUCAGACUCAGUUUAAUAAGAAAAGAAUUGAUCCAUUAAGCUAAACCUAAUUCUUGGCCGAAAAUGGUUGAAAUCUCUUCUUUAUACUGCUAGCUUCAUAAAGACCUAUAAUAUUCAGAAGAAACAACUCAGAACUGAGUUUAAUAAGAUUAAAUGUAUUGCAAAUAUACUUAACAAGAAUCUAUCAAGUUGAUAAUGAUUACUAUUAAUAUCAAACAAUUUUUGUAUAGAAUUUUUUAUUAGAAUGGUUGUAGAAUAUAGCUAUGUGAAAUGCAAUAUAAAAAGGGGUUUAGGUUAUUUGUAACAGCUACAAUUGCUAAACCAAAACCUUAACCUAUAAGAUAUAGUAAUUUAUUUUAUCAGUCCAGUUUCUCAUACAAGUGCAAUUCAAUUUGUAAAGUAUUUAAGUGCCAGUCAUUAACACUGUAUAGCAAAGUGCAGGAGGACAGCAUCUACUAUAUGUGAUUGUGUUAUUCCAUGUGAAGAGACUGCAAAAUAAAUUACUUUUCCCGUCAGCAAGGCUGGAGCCCUAUUGUUAAAACAACUUCAAAUUUCUAUGAACUGUUCUACGAAGCCCCAUUUCAUGGCACUGACAGCUAAAAGCAGCCCUUGGUGCUGUGGGGACACUCUAUGCUGCCAGAGGGACACAGUGACAGCCACCUCACUCUGCCACUCCUCCCCUGAAAAGCAGGGUGCAGCACCAGAGCCCACCCCAAAGCCUCUGGGAGGGCCCAUCCUGCAGUACGGCAUUGCUGGGAUGCACCAGAGAGGAGAAUCCCCACCUUGGGAAUAUAUAAAAGAAUAAGAACAGGAAUUCUGCUUCACCUAGGAUUUGAGAGGAAGAGGACAGACCUGGAGUGGUCCAGCAGCGGUUACAAUCCAGUUACAGUUUUAAUUAAGAUGACAAUGUGGUAAAAAUACAGGCACACAAAAAUCAAACAUCUGAAUUCAGCAAAGAGAAUUAUUGAAACAGUGGGUAAGUGUAGAUGGAAAACAGCACUGGAGGAAAAGACAGAGAAGGAAAUGGAAAGUACUGAAAGUCAAUUAUUACGUGCCCAAAGGUGAGAUGUGCUGUCUGGCAUCAGAACCUUGUGUGGUAAAAUAUAUAUUGAGAAUGAAGAGGAAAAUGAAAGUAAAUUAAUUUAUGAAAAAGCCAUAUUUAAGGUACAAAAAUAAAGACAGGGAAGAUAACUAGAAAUAUUAUAGCAUGGAGUUAAGAGCCUGACACACUGAUAAAGAAAGCAAAGAAGGAAAAUGAAAGGAAAAGUUCACAUAAGGCAAGGAAAUUGUAAAUAAAGAUUUUUUUUUUUCUUUUCAAGCACGUAAAGAGCAUAAGGUCACUGAGAGAAACAGAAGCACACCUAUGAAAUGGCAAAUGGCAGUUUGCUAACAGGAAGGAGAGACUGCUUAAAAAUGAAGUCUCUAUUUUAUUGUACAUAAAACAAGGUUGGACUGAUGACAGGAUCAGACAUAAAUUUCCUGGGGGAGGAAGAAUAAACACCAAAGAAAAUCACUACCAUGCCAGAACAGCUCAUCAAGAAAUUAGAAAGUCUGCAGGUUGACAUAACUCCAGGAAUAGACAGAAUUAAUUCAGAGCUCAGAAAGAUAUGUCAGAAUAGAUAAGAGAAAUCAUUAGCAGAUAUAUUUAACACCUGGUCAGAAUAUGAACUGGACUCAGGAGGGGUUAGUGAUAACAACUAUCUAGAAAAAUACAAACCCCUGACUUCACAGCCAUGUCAGACUCUUGAAACAUUAUUAUUUCAGGAAACAAUACCAUUAGGAGUUUGUACAGCUGCAAGGGAAACUGCUGGCACAGCUCACCAAAGGGAUAUCAAGCUUAAAGAUGCCCUCAGCACUUUUAAAAGAAGAAUUACAAGUUACUGAUCACAAUGGAAUAUAUGGGCACAGAUUCCACACUCUCUAGAAAAGCUUCUGCUACAUUAAUACAUGGAAAACUCAUCUACAAGGUCAGGAAGUAUGGGAACUAUCAGUAAGAUGACAGGGUAUGUUACAAAGAGAAAAACUGGUCAGUUCAUCAAUGAAAAUAAACGGGAUGAAAUUCAGACUGACCGAAGUACACCCAGAGAGCCUGAAAACCUGGCAGAGCAGAAGGGUAGACAGAUUCAUUAAGUGUAGACAAAUUUAUGAUAAUAAAAGUAACAGCAAAUAAUUAGCAAAGGGGCUCUACCCUUGAAGGUGUUCAGAUCUCUCACAUUGAUGUACUUCAUUCAUUUCAAAUUUUUCAUUAUCAGUCCUUGUGACACAGAUAUUUCCACAAGAAGUUAAAGCUAAUAUAGAAUCUAAAAAUAGGUUAAAAAUUUUAAAAAGCUUUUUAAAAAUCACAUUUACAAGAACUGUAUCUCUCAUCAGCCUGUUAAUUUACUCAAUUUCGGCAGAUGUUUCUAAAAUCCCUCUUCAGACUUUUAAAAUCUUGACUAGCCAAGAUAACAGCAUUUCAUCUUCAAAUUCUGUUUAAAGUUCUCCCAAUUUUAAAUCACAAUAUCGAAUAACAGGAGCCCUAAUCCAGUGCAACCAGUGCCAACAUUGGUAUAAACCUUAACUUUAUAACUUUAGCCACAGUUCUUGGACAGACUUGAACAUUCUAGUAUAUUAGAGCUCAGAUGGAUUCUAUUUUUCUUUUAAAUAAUACAUGUUGAAUUAUACAAAUCACAAACUACUUGCAACGGAAUGCUCUUUUAAAUCAGGCACAUUUUUUAACUUCCAAAUUUCCAGCACAGUAGCUGGUUUUAAAGGCAAGUUAUAUUAAAUGAUUACCAAUAUAUUAGCUGCAUGCAGUGGAAUGGGGCAGUAAUUGCUAGAGAAGUGAGCAUGAGCAAAAGCAAAGGGAAGAUGAUUUCUAAAUUUCACCAGUCCUAGAACAGAGUCCCUUUUACAGAGCAGGUGGGCAGGUAACAUCUUCAGAACGAAAUGAGGUGAGUAAAAAACCUACAUGUUUAAUCCAGAGAUAGUUACUGUCAAUCUAGAAAAUAAUCUCUUCAACUAAACAUAAAUUUACCUAAUUCCAAGCCUUAAUAUAGAAAUUCUCUUAUACCCAUGAGAUUAUAUGCUUUCUCUUUAAUCUCCAUUUUGGUUUUUCUACUGUCUACUUCAUACAUUCCUCCCUAAUCAGCCACAGCUGCUAUUGGCCUCAAGGCAGGAUGUCAUUCAGUGCUAUUACAAGUAUUGCUUUGAAGCAGAAGGAUGAAGACGGAAUUCAUACCUGUUUGGUUGUUAAUGCUUAAAGAGGUCUGCCAUAAAUUUCUUUAUAAAAGCAAAAACUAGAUAUUCAAAGCAAAAAAAAAAAAAUUAAAAAAAAA
rnacentral:lncRNA from 1 species